ensembl:lncRNA
CUUCUAAGCUACAGGCUACUUAGCUCUGUCGAUAUCCGCCUGAACCCCCCCGCAGUUUACCCGUCAGGACUUGUAUUUACCAAUGUGAGCGUGUAUUGUCUGUUGGAACAGAUACACCACUUUUGUAUCGCAGUAGUUAGUUUUAAUUAUCUAAACCGCCCCCGCAAUGAUAAUCAGCUCAGGGUAACCGGCUCUUUUUUAAUUAGUCACGUCCAUCUUUGCUCUUCGUUUGAAUUGUCGCAGCGUCGAAGAUGCUCCAAGGACGUGACGGGUGUUUCAUUUCCGGACGAAGUCGAAGGCGGUUCGAAACCAGCGGGCAGAGAACCGCCGUCGCUGUCAUCUGCGUCCUCCGCCAAGAGCUGGGAGAGGUGUGGAGACAGCUUCCUGGAGAAUAAUCUCCAGACAUCAGGGAGGAAACUGUCUGACAUAAGAAAGUUUCCCACUUUAGUGCAGACCGCUGCGGUCAACGAGGACCCGGUGCACAUCGCCUGGAGCUCCAGUGACGGCGAACAGUCCGAUGAUGACACCCAGGAGCAGCAGCAGCAGCUUCCUCAGAGACCAGCCAGACCUUCAGCUCCCGCUCAGUCCUACAGCAGAGCGCUGCGCAUGCUGCGCACGGAAAAAGAAGACUUUCCAGCCAUUGACACAGACAGUGACCUGGACGCAUCUGAGGGAGAUGUGGAGAAGGACAGCGGGCCGCAAAUCUCCGACUGUGAAUCGGAGCGCUCCCUUGAAAAGCCAGAGUCGCCUCUUCGACCAUCAAAUGUGAGCAAACUCUUCAUAAUCAGAAACCUUCUGAUGACGAUGCACGUGGUCUGCAGAUGGCGUCCCGUGUGUUUUAAUGGCCACUAG